rnacentral:misc_RNA from 1 species
AUGAAGAACGUAGCGAAAUGCGAUAAGUAAUGUGAAUUGCAGAAUUCAGUGAAUCAUCGAAUCUUUGAACGCACAUUGCGCCCGCCAGUAUUCUGGCGGGCAUGCCUGUUCGAGCGUCAUUACAACCCUCAGGCCCCCGGGCCUGGCGUUGGGGAUCGGCGGAGCCCCCCGUGGGCACACGCCGUCCCCCAAAUACAGUGGCGGUCCCGCCGCAGCUUCCAUCGCGUAGUAGCUAACACCUCGCGACUGGAGAGCGGCGCGGCCACGCCGUAAAACACCCAACUCUUCUGAAGUUGACCUCGAAUCAGGUAGGAAUACCCGCUGAACUUAAGCAUAUCAAUAAGCGGAGGA